AAUGCUAGUGGUGACAUGCAUCGGUCCUCUGCUCAUAACACCUCUGGUGUGUCCCACGGUCCCACCCAACCCAGCACAUCUGGCAAUAUUUCAUCCAGCACAUCCUACAGUACAUACCUUGACCUGUUUGAGGAAGAAUACCUCUCUGAUGACCCUGAUCUACAGGAAGCCAUUUCACGGUCUUUAGAUUCCAGUGCAAGUGAGAGUGAUUUAAAGAUGACUUUAGAGAGAAUAAUGGAGCGGAUUGCUUCUCGAGUAAAUAAUGACAGCACUGUACGCUUCAAUAUCAUAAGAAGAAAUGCGUGGGAUGGAGCAUCCAGAGCCAUGGGCAGAUCCAAUUUUUC